rnacentral:lncRNA from 1 species
UGACAGGGGCGACACGCGCGCCGAGGUUGUCAAGCAGUGGAUGUUGGCCACCAAACUUGAUGGGCGUGUUCGUCUCUACAUCACGCCCUGCGUGCCGCCGGGGGGACCAGCGGUGCCCAGUGACGCCGAACUGCAGGAGGCGUAUCAUGGAUACAUAUGCGCCUCCGAGGACAAUAAUAGCUCAGCAGAGUUAUUCACGUCGCUUGUAACGAUAUGGUGAAUGAUGGUGGUGGUGGUGAUGGCCAUGUAUGCACUUCAGAAUGGAUUUGCCAACUCCUGGGUUC